rnacentral:rRNA from 1 species
AAGGAGAAGUCGUAACAAGGUUUCCGUAGGUGAACCUGCAUCAGGGAUUCCGUGGGACCAUAACAAAACCCCGGCACGGCAUGUGCCAGGGAAAACAAAAAUGAGAAGGACACUACCUGUUUCGCCCCGUUUGCGGUGUGCGUACAGGUCGUGGCCUCCUGGGAAUCACAAACGACUCUCGGCAACGGAUAUCUCGGCUCACGCAUCGAUGAAGAACGUAGCAAAAUGCGAUACUUGGUGUGAAUUGCAGAAUCCCGUGAACCAUCGAGUUUUUGAACGCAAGUUGCGCCCGAAGCCAUCCGGCUGAGGGCACGCCUGCCUGGGCGUCACGCAUCGCGUCGCUCCCCACCAUACCUCCCCAACGGGUUGGCAUGGUGUUGGGGGCGGAUAAUGGCCUCCCGUGCUUGUGUUUCGGUUGGCCUAAAUAAGAGUUCCCUUCGGCGGACACACGACUAGUGGUGGUUGAAUAGACCCUCGUCUUUUGUUGCGUGUCGUGAGCUGUAAGGGUAGCCCUCAUCAAAGACCCCAUUGUAUCGUCUUCGGAUGAUGCUUCGACCGCGACCCCAGGUCAGGCGGGACUACCCGCUGAG